UCGCCGCGCGCAGUCCCCCGCCUCUUCUUUCUUUCUCCCGGUGUCCAGCAGCUUCUGUACGUUUCCUUUAGAUUGGAGGACGGGGAGGAGAAGGAAGGAGCCGCGGUAAUCGGCGCGAGGCAGGCAACUUGGCGAGACAUACACGAUGCGCAUGGCCCGCAUGCUGCAGUUAUAAUCAUCUCAGCAAGAUGUGGAGCGUCGGGAGAUGAGAAAAAAUUGGACGAGGCGGCGGCGGGAGAACCGGCAACACGUGCACAAGAGGCACGGCGAGGCGGCGGUGCGACGGGAAAGAGGCACGGUGAGACGACAGCGCUCCGGGUAGGAGGCACGGCGAGGCGGCGCUGCAACGGGAAAGAGGCACGGUGAGAUGAAGGCGCUCCGGGUAGGAGGCAGGGCGAGGCGGCGGCGCACUGGUUCGUUUGUCUGUCCGCCUCCUGUGGUUUUGAUCGUUUCAAUCGAUCAGGAGCCAGGUGAAACGAUGGAUGGGUAAUUUUGUCCUAAACAAUAUGUCAUAUGGGCCCGUACGUGGAGAAGUAACAAAAAGGUAGAUUUGUGCUAUUUUGUACAGCUACCAAUUAAAUGUGUGCUAUUUUAUCUAAUAAAAAGAAAAGUGUGCUAUUGAA